rnacentral:lncRNA from 1 species
CACUUACUUAUGAUAAGGCUACGGAAUUCUCUAAGAAGUGGUUGAUACUACUGAGCUGUCUUUUUGUGGCAGUUUUUCCAACUGUAAAAUCUCGCAAAACCAUUUUUCGACAAAACCAACCAUUUCCAACCUGUUGGUACAGUUUUAAGCACAUGCAUAGGGCUAAAAUAGAACAGAAAUGGGCAAUUUUUGUCUUAUUUACAUUUUUUUUUUGACAUUAAAUGUUUACGGAAUAGUUCAGUUUCAAAAGUUUACUCAGUUUUUAGUUUUGAUAUACUCUUUGAGCUCUGCGCGUUUUGAUUUUCUUCAACGGGUUCAACUGAUACAGCUCCAAUAUCAACGGAUUCAACUAGAUAACUACAACAGAAGCUGUUCCAUUUUUUUAUGGGUUGAUCAUAUUCGUAUUCAAUCGUAAAUAUUUAAAUUGUUUUUCAUACAUUCAGAACCUUUUUUUUAAUCUUAUUUCAAAUAUGACAGUAUUAAUAAACUUUUAAUAUCAAUUAAAUGGCACCAAACAAUAAUGAAGAUCCCGGUGUUAAGCUGGAAAAAGAAUCAAAUAGUCUUAAAUUGUUGCAAGAAAAAAUUGAAAAAUGCCAAACUCUGAGCAAAAGUAUGUGUGGAAUUCUAACAUCCUUUGAUGAGCAUUUGAUGAAACUGGAAGAGACCAUAUUACCAGUGUACUUAGAAACUGGGAAUCUUCAACGCCGCCAAGAAA